rnacentral:rRNA from 1 species
GACAGAGGAUGCAAGCGUUAUCCGGAAUGAUUGGGCGUAAAGCGUCUGUAGGUGGCUUUUUAAGUCCGCCGUCAAAUCCCAGGGCUCAACCCUGGACAGGCGGUGGAAACUACCAAGCUGGAGUACGGUAGGGGCAGAGGGAAUUUCCAGUGGAGCGGUGAAAUGCGUAGAGAUUGGAAAGAACACCGAUGGCGAAGGCACUUUACUGGGCUAUUACUAACACUCAGAGACGAAAGCUAGGGUAGCAAAUGGG